AGUGAACGCUGGCGGUAGGCCUAACACAUGCAAGUCGAACGGCAGCACAGUAAGAGCUUGCUCUUACGGGUGGCGAGUGGCGGACGGGUGAGGAAUACAUCAGAAUCUACUUUUUCGUGGGGGAUAACGUAGGGAAACUUACGCUAAUACCGCAUAUGACCUACGGGUGAAAGCAGUGGUUCUUCGGACCUUGCGCGAUUGAAUGAGCCGAUGUCGGAUUAGCUAGUUGGCGUGGUAAAGGCCCACCAAGGCAACGAUCCGUAGCCGGUCUGAGAGGAUGAUCAGCCACACUGGAACUGAGACACGGUCCAGACUCCUACGGGAGGCAGCAGUGGGGAAUAUUGCACAAUGGGCGAAAGCCUGACCCAGCAAUACCGCGUGGGUGAAGAAGGCCUUCGGGUUGUAAAGCCCUUUUGUUGGGAAAGAAAAGCAGCAGGUUAAUACCCCGCUGUUCUGACGGUACCCAAAGAAAAAGCACCGGCUAACUUCGUG
rnacentral:rRNA from 1 species